rnacentral:rRNA from 1 species
GAUGAACGCUAGCGGCAGGCUUAAUACAUGCAAGUUGAGGGGCAGCAUGAUAUACGCGAGUAUAUUGAUGGCGACCGGCGGACGGGUGAGUAAUAGGUAGGAGACCUACCUCAUACAGGGGGAUAGCAUAGAGAAAUCUGUGGUAAUACCCCAUGAGGUUAUAUGAAUAGAGGCAUAUAAUCAAAGCAUAAGCGAUUAUGCGGUAUGAGAGGGGCCUACUGACCAUUAGCUAGUUGGUGAGGUGAGGGCUCACCAAGGCGAAGAUGGUUAGGGGUUUUGAGAGAGAGACCCCCCACAUUGGAACUGAGAGACGGUCCAGACUCCUACGGGAGGCAGCAGUAGGGAAUAUUGGGCAAUGGGCGAAAGCCUGACCCAGCCAUGCCGCGUGAAGGAAGACGGCCUUAUGGGUUGUAAACUUCUUUACUACGCGAAUAGAGGUUAGUACGAGAUACUAAUAGGAAGGUAGUGUAGUAAAAGCACCGGCUAACUCCGUGCC